rnacentral:rRNA from 1 species
GAUGAACGCUAGCGGGAGGCCUAACACAUGCAAGCCGAGCGGUAGAGUUCCUUCGGGAACUUGAGAGCGGCGUACGGGUGCGUAACACGUGUGCAACCUACCUUUAUCUGGGGGAUUGCCUUUCGAAAGGAAGAUUAAUACCCCAUAAUAUAAUGAUUGGCAUCAAUUAUUAUUGAAAACUCCGGUGGAUAGAGAUGGGCACGCGCAAGAUUAGAUAGUUGGUGAGGUAACGGCUCACCAAGUCAAUGAUCUUUAGGGGUCCUGAGAGGGAGAUCCCCCACACUGGUACUGAGACACGGACCAGACUCCUACGGGAGGCAGCAGUGAGGAAUAUUGGACAAUGGGUGAAAGCCUGAUCCAGCCAUCCCGCGUGAAGGAUGACGGUCCUAUGGAUUGUAAACUUCUUUUGUACAGGGAUAAACCUACUCUCGUGAGGGUAGCUGAAGGUACUGUACGAAUAAGCACCGGCUAACUCCGUG